GAUGUUGGACUCGGGGGCAUCAAAGCGAGUGCACGGCGUCCUCACGAUUUCAGCACCCAGUGCCUUCAGAAUAUUGACCUUUGGGAGGGACAAGAGGAGCUGCAGCACAGCUGAUCCCACACAGGGAUGGACGAUGAUGCAGCGGUAACCCUUCAAUGCAGCCACCAGUGCCAGCCCAAUCCCUGCAUGGGAGCAGAGGGAAUUGGUUGGCACCAGAAUUUGGCAAGAGCGACGGAUGGGCGCCGCUGCCCGCGCUCCUCUCUGGAUGGAACCAAGGAGUGGCCACUGACCAGCCACGGCAGGGGAAUGGUCUCUGGGAACCUCUGAGAAUUCAAAAGCUUCCCAGCCUGAAAACACCCAGGGUUGCCCCAGCCCCUGAUGCUGUCUGCCUUGCCACAAGGAGACCUUCCAGGCACACCUGGAAGGUGUGGGACCCUCACAGAACCCUCAGGAAUUUCAGCAAGGAGGCACCUCAGCAUCCCAGGAAGCCCAUGGCCACCAGGAGGGGAGCUGAGGGGAGGAUGGAGCCAGAGCCCACCUCGUAACUCCAAAUGCAAAUCCCUGCUCCUCAGAAAUUCCACCCUGCCCAGUUCCCAGGCAGAGGAAGCAUCACUGCCCUUCCCACCUGUGUUUCCUGAAGUGGGUUCAAUCAAGGUGUCUCCUGGUUUGAUAAUCCCAGCUCUCUCUGCAUCCUCCACCAUCCUGAGGCUGAUGCGGUCCUUCACGCUGCCCCCUGCAUUGAAGUACUCACACUUGGCCACUGGAAAGGGAAACAAAGGGGACACUCCAUCAGGCACCUGCUCCUUUCUCCCCCUGGCCUCACUGCAGUGUUAGGACACCUCUUCCUCCUCUGCAGGACUGUCCUUUGCUGAGGGGAAUGCAUCCCCCAUUUGCAUUUUUGGGAUUUUCCAUCAGAGUCCUUCUUUCCCCCAUGUUUCCUCCACCCUGGAUGGGUUUGAAGCCAACCUGGACAGCCCAGGAUGGGUUAAAAAUCAGCUGGACAUGGUCAUUGCAGGGUGGGAGGUCCCACACUGGUGCAACACUCCUUGAGGACUCUUCUGUGGGCCAGGGAUAGCAGCAAGGUCUCACUGUCUAUCCUGGGGCACUGAGGUUUUUAAUAGAUAUCUAAAAAGCUCCCCUUUUGCAGGGAUGAUCCAUAGUCCUGACUGAGGUGCCGUAAAAAAAACCCAAACAAUAGAAAGAACAUUUUCAGGUGCCAGGCCAAAUGACAGUUUCUUUCACUGAGCUAGCAAUAAGCCAAGUCACUUUCCAAGGCACAUCUCAGUCCUCACUGGGGCCUCCACACCACAGGAUUCUUCUUACCAAGGCUUUGAUGAACAUCUGCAACUGAACUGGUGCCACUGAGCUCUGUUUUAUGAACAACAUGGAGAAAUGGGGAUUUCCAGGGGGUCUUUCCUUUCACCCUGGCAGAGACAGCGACCUGAGGCUGAGAAAUCAGCCCUGUACCCGAGCAGCCUGAACGGGAAAGGAAAUCUCGUGCUCAUCAUUACAUUUUAUAACGCAAAGUGCCACAACUCCAGCUGCACAAGGGUCCCUGGGGGCACAGAAGACACCAGGCACUCCUGUCCAGCUGUAGCUGCUUCCUUUUAUUCCUGUGUUUGCCUGGGAAGGGGCUCUGUGCUGACACAGACAGGACUGUGCAGCUGCUCUGCCUGUUCUGCUUUCCUUCCCCUCCUGUGCCAGGGGAGGGAGACACCAUCCCAGAAAAUGGGAUCUGCCCGGCUUUCCCAGCACCUGAAGCACCAGCCAGACAUCCUGCAAGGGACAGGCUGCUCCAGAGCUGCUCCAGGCACUGCACAUCUGUCCUCCCACCUCCAGCAGCUCCUUCCAUGGUCUCCUGUGUCCCUCAGCUCUCAUUGUGAGCAGGGUGAGGCAGUGCAGUGUGGAGGUUGCAGGGCUGGUGGCCCAAGGAUCCCAGAUCCUAAGAAGGGAUCAGGUGGGAAAGCCCAGGGUGCUCCCUGUGUCCAUGUGCUCAGUGGGGUCUGGCUGCCCCGAGGGUUCCCAGGUGCCACACAGCACUGCAGGGCUCUGCUGUGCCAUUGCAGUAAGGAUGGGUGCUCAGAAGGUCUCUCCUUACCCAGCUGUGUGACACUCGUGGCACUUUCUGCCUCUCAGAAUCUGCCUUUCUGCCCAGUUUGGAUUAUUAGGAUUAGGAGUUAUAGGAAAGGAGACUGAAAAUUCCACAUGCACAGAUCUGAGCUUAUCACCCUUGUGACUGUAGGGUGACAGCCUAAAGCCAAGCCUGACAUGACACAGCACCAGCUAAAAUCUCCUUAGGGAGAGGACUUAGAUCCAUCCCCAGAUUUAGGCCAGCUCUGCUCGGAGCUCAUGCUGCUGUUACCUGGCAGGAGAAAUGCCUCACUACCACUGCCCCCCUGCUCACUGCUGCUUGAAAUCACCUGUUUGGCCCAAGAAAUUACUGCCUAAUAAGCAGGAGAGCCCAACAUGAGCCACACCUGCCCCUCCCCAUCUCUGUUCCUCUCUGAAGCCCCUCCAGCACCACCCCUCACCCUCACCUCGUGGCAUGCAAAAACCUGGUGGGAAGGGGACACUCACAGAGCUCACACUUGAGCCCAUAGGACUUCCCAAUCUUGUUGAUUUGGACCAUUGGGGUGCAGCCAAUUUUCUUGAGGAUAUUGGGCAAGAUCUUCUUUUCUUCUCUCCUGAAAUAAUGCAGGAAAAAAUAAAGUCAAAUAAAAGCUAUUGUUGUGCAACAUGAAUCAAGAGAAAAUCUGAGUGAGGUUUCAGCAACUUUAUCAAGGCCACCAAAAGACACCCCAACUCCAAGAGAAAAAGAAUUAGUGGCACCAGGAGUUAGUUACAGUUCUCCAUCAUGAGUUAUUAGGUCUUUUACAUAAAAAGUAAGCUAAUUAAUUUUCAGGAUUGCUCAGAAAUGCCUUGUCACUAUAGGACACGAAAUAACAUGACGCAGACACGCAGCUCUCCCAAGGUAAAAAGAGUACUUUUAAUUUCUGACUCCAAUAUUUAUAGAUUUCCAAAAGUGACAAUGGAUUUGAGGGUGACAGUGCCACCUCUCCAAUGACACUGGACAAACCAACAGCCUAUCAAAUUUCU